rnacentral:lncRNA from 1 species
UGCUGGCCCUCAGUGGAAGCACAGUUCCACUCCUCCCUGCAUCUGAGCAAGGCAGUGCAUCAGGACCCAAGGCUGAGUUCUCACCAAGGGAAACGAGCAGAAGUGGAGCUCUUCAGGAGGACCCAGACAAGUGGGACAGACUUGAAGCCACAUUUUCUCUCUUCCAUCUAUGUGCUUAGAGGUCAAGUCACAAGCAGUGCUGGUAUUAAACGAAAGUCUCCCGAAUGCUUCCAAUCAUUCUAG